UACAGAGGUCUCAAGCGUUGUUCGGAUUCAUUGGGCGUAAAGGGUGCAUAGGCGGCGCGGUAAGUCGGGUGUGAAAUCUUGGAGCUUAACUCCGAAACUGCAUUCGAUACUGCCGUGCUUGAGGACUGGAGAGGAGACUGGAAUUUACGGUGUAGCGGUGAAAUGCGUAGAUAUCGUAAGGAGGACCAGUGGCGAAGGCGGGUCUCUGGACAGUUCCUGACGCUGAGGCACGAAGGCCAGGGGGAGCAAACGGG
rnacentral:rRNA from 1 species